rnacentral:misc_RNA from 1 species
UGAGCAAGACCUGCUGUUGCCGCCGAGCCUGCGCCAAUGGUUGGAUGAAGACCACUUGGUGUACUUCGUCAGCGAUGUCGUGGACCAGUUGGAUCUGUCGGCGAUCCACGCGGUGUACGAGCAGGAGAAGCGAGGGCAACCGCCGUACGAUCCGCGCCUGAUGACGAAAUUAUUGGUAUACGGCUACUGCACGGGAGUGUUCAGUUCGCGUCGGAUUCAGAAGCGGUUGCAGGAGGACAUCCCCUUCAAGGUGUUGGCGGCGGGCAACCAGCCGGACUUCCGGACCAUCUCGGACUUUCGCAAGAUCCACAUCGAAACGCUACAGAACCUGUUCGAGCAGGUCUUGGCGAUGGCGCUGGAGUGCGGGUCGAUCAAACUGGG